UAGGAUUUGGAUUAGGGUUUGGUUAGGGUUUGGUUAGGAUUUGAUUUAAGGUUUGGUUUAGGGUUUAGGAUUUGGAUUAGAAUUUAGGAUUGGAUUAGGAUUUGUAUUAGGGUUUAAGGUUUGGUUAGGGUUUGAUUUAGGGUUUAGAUUAGAAUUUGGACUAGGAUUUGGUUAGGGUUUGAUUUAAGGUUUGGUUUAGAAUUUAGGAUUUGGAUUAGAAUUUAGGAUUGGAUUAGGAUUUGUAUUAGGGUUUAAGGUUUGGUUAGGGUUUGAUUUAGGGUUUAGAUUAGAAUUUGGACUAGGAUUUGGUUAGGGUUUGAUUUAAGGUUUGGUUUAGGGUUUAGGAUUUGGAUUAGAAUUUAGGAUUGGAUUAGGGUUUAGGAUUUGGUUAGGAUUUGAUUUAGGAUUUGUAUUAGGGUUUGGUUAGGAUUUGAUUUAAGGUUUGGUUUAGGGUUUAGGAUUGGAUUAGGAUUUGGUUUAGGAUUUGAUUUAGGAUUUGGUUUAAGAUUUAGAGUUUGGAAUAAGAUUUAAUUUAAGAUUUGUUUAGGAUUUGACUUAGAGUUUAGGAAUUAUUAGGAUUUAAGAUUUAAUUAGGUUUGGUCUAAAGUUGAGUGAAAUUCAAUAGGGUUUUAACUAGAAUUAAAUUAAGGUUGAAUUGACAUAUAUUUGAGUAAAAUUUGUGAUCAUUCUAAUAUUUCUUUAAGAAUUUUAUUGUUUGUUUGAAAUUUCUUUGAGUUGUUUGAAUUUGAUUACGUUUGUUUACUAUUAUUAUAAUCUAAUUAGAGCAUUGUUAGUAUUCUAUUUAGGAUUUUGUUAUCGCAAUUUCUAUUCUUCGUUCUAC
rnacentral:lncRNA from 1 species